rnacentral:rRNA from 1 species
UAGAUACCCUAUUAUAUUAAUGAGGCUCUAGAUUAGUAAUAGAUAUGUUCUUUAAAUUCGAAGAAUUUGGCGGUGGUUUAGUCUUGUUAGAGGAACCUGUUUUUGAAUCGAUACACCACGUAGAAUUUUACUCAUUUUAUUUCGUUUAUAUACCGUCAUUAUCAGAUAAUUUUUAAAGAAGUAAUUAUUAAAUUUUAUAGAAGUAAAUUAAAUUAGAUCAAGGUGUAGCUGAUAAGUGAGUUAAAAUGGGUUACAAUAAAAUAUAUUUAUUACGGAUUAGUUGCAGAAGUGGAGUUAUGAAGGAGGAUUUAAUUGUAAUUUGAGUUUAGUAAGCUUGAAAGAUAUAAGCUCUAAAUCAUGUACAUAUCG